rnacentral:rRNA from 1 species
UACGUAGGGACCGAGCGUUGUCCGGAAUCAUUGGGCGUAAAGCGCGCGUAGGCGGCCUCGUAAGUCCGUUGUGAAAGUCAAAGGCUCAACCUUUGAAAGCCGAUGGAUACUGUGAGGCUAGAGUCCGGAAGAGGCGAGUGGAAUUCCUGGUGUAGCGGUGAAAUGCGCAGAUAUCAGGAGGAACACCGGUGGCGAAGGCGGGUCUCUGGGCCGAUACUGACGCUGAGGAGCGAAAGCGUGGGGAGCGAACAGG